UUAACACAUGCAAGUCGAACGCGAAAGGGACUUCGGUCCUGAGUAAAGUGGCGCACGGGUGAGUAACGCGUAGAUAACCUGUCUUCAUGUCUGGAAUAAUACGCCGAAAGGGGUACUAAUACCGGAUAUUCUUGCUUUUCAUAAGUUAUGCAAGCAAAGGUGGCCUCUGCAUAUGCUACUGCAUGAAGAGGGGUCUGCGUACCAUUAGCUAGUAGGUGGGGUAAUGGCCUACCUAGGCGACGAUGGUUAGCGGGUCUGAGAGGAUGAUCCGCCACACUGGCACUGGAACACGGGCCAGACUCCUACGGGAGGCAGCAGUGAGGAAUAUUGCGCAAUGGGGGAAACCCUGACGCAGCGACGCCGCGUGAGUGAGGAAAGGCCUUCGGGUCGUAAAGCUCUGUCAAGAGGAAAGAAGUGUACAAUGGCUAAUACCUGUUGUAUUUGACGGUACCUCUAAAGGAAGCACCGGCUAACUCCGUGCCAGCAGCAGC
rnacentral:rRNA from 1 species